CACGUAGGGCGCAAGCGUUUGUCCGGAAUUAUUGGGCGUAAAGAGCUCGUAGGUGGUUUGUUACGUCUGCUGUGAAAACCUAGGGCUUAACCCUGGGCUUGCAGUGGAUACGGGCAGACUAGAGGUAGGUAGGGGAGAAUGGAAUUCCUGGUGUAGCGGUGAAAUGCGCAGAUAUCAGGAGGAACACCAAUGGCGAAGGCAGCUCGCUGGGACGGUACUGACGCUGAGACGCGAAAGCGUGGGGAGCAAACAGG
rnacentral:rRNA from 1 species